GGCCUGAUGGCCUAAUGGUAAGGCGUUGCUUUCCGGUGGCAAAGAUUGUGGGUUCGAGUCCCACUUGGGUCG
rfam:Glarea lozoyensis 74030 unplaced genomic scaffold M7I_scaffold10, whole genome shotgun sequence.